UAAGAUGAGCAUCAUGAGAAGCGCAGUGCGAAAGUAACUUCUGCGUGUUGUUAUUCCCUUUUCUUUAUCGAUUUCUUCGCAAGGAAUUGCCACUUCUUCCAACUGGGAAGCCUCCUCCUCCUUCAUCGCUCAUCUCGACAACUCUUCUUCAAGCAAAAGCUUUCACCUCAAUCAAUGAGAUUUGCUGCAUGGCUUUAGAUUCCUGGGUUUAAAAAGGAGGGGAGGAUGCCCCAGACCGGAAUCCUAAACCGACUUGCUAGAUUCUUCUUUCUUUUCUUCACAAGUGGGACUUCGUUAUAUUUAUAUUUCAUAUACUAUACGGAGGUGACAGACAGAGGUGAAGAGCAACAAAACUUAGCACUACUAAAAGGGGUUUCUUCGAUAUCUGCAUGCGUCUUGUAGUUUGCAACAUGGAAUACAUUGGAUCCCUGUUCAUGUUAAUGCAUGCUUGGAUGGCUCUAACUUUGAUAUGGAUAAAAGCCAAGAGAAGAGAAUCUUUGCCUUGCCUACACUUUAAUAUUAUAAGAGUCUACUGUAGCCUAGAGCAACAUGUCAAUGACAUAAAGUCACUGAAAAAGGAAACAACAUGCAAGGCAUUAACUUCCCUUUUCUCUAGCUAUAUAUACAAUAUAAUAUGUGAUGUUGUUUCCCUUGAAAGUUAGCCGUUAGGAAGGAAAAUCAUAAUAAUGACUGAGUUGCAGUACUGAACUCACUUGCCAGAUUUAUCAUACAA